rnacentral:lncRNA from 1 species
GUUAAAUUAAUGCUGAUAUGAUUGUAUCUUAUAGAGUUUUGGAGAUGGAAGGAAUUUUAGAGCCAUUUUCACCACAAAUUAAGCACGGUGAAAAACUGUCCACAAUAAAAAACUGACUAUAGUGGGCUAUUGGUCAACUCCCCCGUCAGUGGUGCAACCCACCCGACACAAGGAGAGCGGACUUACUUGGUUCCCAGUUUCACAGAGCUGCGCGGUCAGCCAGUUGAGCAGGAACAUUGUGGCAAAAGUGCGUGGUGGCGCAAAGCCGCCUGGGUCAUGGUGUCGGCAAUGCAGGGCAGGGAGCAGCCCCACAGCAAAGGGGCCAGAGGCCAGGGUCUAAAGACUGUGCCAAAGAUUGUCUCAUGGAGCAACUUAAGACAGAAUCAGAACAACUUUCUGACAGUGUGUCCUGGCAGCUUUGUGGGGUAGGCAGCCUCCCUUCCUAUCGCCUUCCUCCUUUUAUCAUUUACAGUUCACCUUCCGGUGCUGUUUAUAUCACUGAAUGAUGACAUUUCAAUUAUUAAUAAAUGUUUGAUUAGACCAUAUCAGCAUAUUUGUGAAAGUAGGAGCCUUUUAAAUUUGCUGUUCUCAUCAUUUUAAUAUCGUUGUGUCAUACAAGGCGUUGCAGUUGAUUACAAGGAUACUCAGGAGCUAUGGGACAAGAGUACCUGGAAGAGGUGAAGAGAAGAGGGAACGUUUGUUGGCCUCUGAGAAGUUUCCGGGGACAUGUGAGUGUUCAGCAGUCCCUAGCAGGGGAGAAGCAGGAGGAGAAAACAGUGAGAUGCUCUGGGGACAGUUCCUUGAAAAUUUCAUCUGACUCCCAGAGGUGUGUGAACGUACAAGACCUGAAGCCAGAUUCUGGAGAAAGACAACAUUUUCCUCCUUGUAUCAAGAACUCCAACUUCACCAACAGAGAACCCCUCAUAAAAGUACUCAGAAGGACAACUUGUAGUAGAAAAUAUUCUAGAGUUCUUUCCAAAGGGUUAAGCCAUAAAAGGAAGAAUUGUAGAAGUCGAAUAUUUCAUGUUUAAAACUGUGGUUCAAACAAUUGUGAGUUAUAACUCAGUUUUCUGCUGUGGGAUUUUACAAAAAUGAUAUUGGAUAAGAGCAGGCAUUUAUGACUAUGCCUUUAGUCUUUCUGACAACAUAGUUUCACCAUAAUUUGGAAAAUUCUCAGUGGAGUAUGUUUUCAUUAUCUUACAAGGAAAUCAAAAUGUUUGCGUAAGUGAUGAGAAACCACUCUGAGCAGUGGUUCUUCCUUUUACCGCCUUUUUUUUUUUUUUUUUUUUUUACAAAAGUAAGUACUGUGGCCCUUAAAAUGCUAUUAAAUGUUUAUACUUUUAAAAUUAUGUAUACCUUUUCUAAUAAUAAUUU